CAGCAGUUUCAGUCUCCACAGUUUGACCUGCAGGUGAGUUCAGACAGCAUCAAUAGAUCCACAGCGAAUCCAUUUCAGCAUAAAACUGACAAUGAAGCUGGUUUGUGUCCUCGUCCUCCUAUUGGCUCCGGUGUUGACCAGCGGCAACCCACUGGACUGCAGCGACAUCAACGAUGAAACCAGCGGAGUGAAGACCAUCUAUCCCUUCAAAAACGAGUCUACUGUCCAGGUUUACUGCGACAUGAGCUCAUUCGGAGGAAGGUGGACGGUG